rnacentral:rRNA from 1 species
UGGGGAAUCUUGCGCAAUGGGCGAAAGCCUGACGCAGCAACGCCGCGUGGGGGAUGAAUGCCUUCGGGUUGUAAACCCCUUUCAGCAGGAACGAAAAUGACGGUACCUGCAGAAGAAGGUCCGGCCAACUACGUGCCAGCAGCCGCGGUAAUACGUAGGGGCCAAGCGUUGUCCGGAUUUAUUGGGCGUAAAGAGCUCGUAGGCGGUUCGGUAAGUCGGGUGUGAAAACCCCAGGCUCAACCUGGGGACGCCACCCGAUACUGUCGUGACUAGAGUCCGGUAGGGGAGUGGGGAAUUCCUGGUGUAGCGGUGAAAUGCGCAGAUAUCAGGAGGAACACCGGUGGCGAAGGCGCCACUCUGGGCCGGUACUGACGCUGAGGAGCGAAAGCGUGGGUAGCAAACAG